rnacentral:rRNA from 1 species
CUGGCUCAGAACGAACGCUGGCGGCAGGUCUUAGGCAUGCAAGUCGAACGGAUGACAAGGGAGCUUGCUCCUGAAGUCAGUGGCGCACGAGUGAGUAACGCGUGGGAAACUGCCCUUCACUGGGGAAUAACGUUUGGAAACGAACGCUAAUACCGCAUACGCCCGCAAGGGGAAAGAUUUAUCGGUGAUGGAUGUGCCCGCGUUGGAUUAGCUAGUUGGUGGGGUAAUGGCCUACCAAGGCGAUGAUCCAUAGCUGGUCUGAGAGGACGAUCAGCCACGCUGGAACUGAGACACGGUCCAGACUCCUACGGGAGGCAGCAGCUAAGAAUAUUGGGCAAUGGAGGAAACUCUGACCCAGCCCAUGCCGCGUGAAUGAAGAAGGCCUUCGGGUUGUAAAGUUCUUUUAGUCAUGAAGAUGAUGACAGUAGUGACAGAAAAGCACCGGCUAACUUCGUGCCAGCAGCCGC